AUGACACUUUGGCAACACACAUACUAAAAUUGGAACGGUACAGAGAAGAUUAGCAUGGCUCCUGCACAAAUAUGACACACAGAUUCGUGAAGCGUUCCAUAUUUAA
rnacentral:snRNA from 1 species